rnacentral:misc_RNA from 1 species
AUGUGGAGCGAGCUUGCUCGCGAAAGCGGUGGGUCAGUUGACGGUGAUGUUGAUUGUGCCGACGCCAUCGCGAGCAAGCUCGCUCCCACA